rnacentral:rRNA from 1 species
UACGUAGGCAGCAAGCGUUGUUCGGAGUUACUGGGCGUAAAGGGUGCGUAGGCGGUUGUUUAAGUUUGGUGUGAAAUCUCCCGGCUUAACUGGGAGGGUGCGCCGGAAACUGGAGUGCUCGAGCGUGGGAGAGGAAAGCGGAAUUCCUGGUGUAGCGGUGAAAUGCGUAGAUAUCAGGAGGAACACCUGCGGUGUAGACGGCUUUCUGGACCAUUGCUGACGCUGAGACACGAAAGCGUGGGUAGCAAACAGG